rnacentral:rRNA from 1 species
GACGAACGCUGUCGGCGUGCUUAACACAUGCAAGUCGAACGGAAAGGCCCUGCUUUUGUGGGGUGCUCGAGUGGCGAACGGGUGAGUAACACGUGAGUAACCUGCCCUUGACUUUGGGAUAACUUCAGGAAACUGGGGCUAAUACCGGAUAGGAGCUCCUGCUGCAUGGUGGGGGUUGGAAAGUUUCGGCGGUUGGGGAUGGACUCGCGGCUUAUCAGCUUGUUGGUGGGGUAGUGGCUUACCAAGGCUUUGACGGGUAGCCGGCCUGAGAGGGUGACCGGCCACAUUGGGACUGAGAUACGGCCCAGACUCCUACGGGAGGCAGCAGUGGGGAAUAUUGCACAAUGGGCGGAAGCCUGAUGCAGCAACGCCGCGUGCGGGAUGACGGCCUUCGGGUUGUAAUCCGCUUUCGCCUGUGACGAAGCGUGAGUGACGGUAAUGGGUAAAGAAGCACCGGCUAACUACGUG